AGUUAUUUUAACACUUAUGGGGUGUUCCAAUGGUCCCAGGUCUGGUGGACCCACCACAUUAUAGGGAUUUUAAAUCAAUACAGCCACAACAGUUUAUGUAAAAAAAAUA